rnacentral:rRNA from 2 species
UCUACGGGAGGCAGCAGUAGGGAAUCUUCCACAAUGGGCGCAAGCCUGAUGGAGCAACACCGCGUGAGUGAAGAAGGGUUUCGGCUCGUAAAGCUCUGUUGUUAAAGAAGAACACGUAUGAGAGUAACUGUUCAUACGUUGACGGUAUUUAACCAGAAAGUCACGGCUAACUACGUGCCAGCAGCCGCGGUAAUA